AUUGAACGCUGGCGGCAGGCCUAACACAUGCAAGUCGAGCGAGCGGCGGACGGGUGAGUAAUGUCUGGGAAACUGCCUGAUGGAGGGGGAUAACUACUGGAAACGGUAGCUAAUACCGCAUACCAUCAGAUGUGCCCAGGUGGGAUUAGCUAGUAGGUGGGGUAACGGCUCACCUAGGCGACGAUCCCUAGCUGGUCUGAGAGGAUGACCAGCCAAAUGGGAACUGAGACACGGUCCAGACUCCGACGGGAGGCAGCAGUGGGGAAUAUUGCACAAUGGGGGCAAGCCUGAUGCAGCCAUGCCGAGGGUGUGAAGAAGGCGCUAGGGUUGUAAAGCACUUUCAGCGGGGAGGCGGUACCAGCAGAAGAAGCACCGGCUAACUCCGUGCCAGCAGCCGCGGUAAUAC
rnacentral:rRNA from 1 species